rnacentral:rRNA from 1 species
UACGGGGGGGGGCAAGCGUUGUUCGGAAUUACUGGGCGUAAAGGCUGGUAGGCGGCCAACUAAGUCGGAUGUGAAAUCCCCAGGCUUAACCUGGGAACUGCAUCCGAUACUGGUCGGCUUGAAUCCGGGAGAGGGAUGCAGAAUUCCAGGUGUAGCGGUGAAAUGCGUAGAUAUCUGGAGGAAUACCGGUGGCGAAGGCGGCAUCCUGGACCGGCAUUGACGCUGAACAGCGAAAGCUAGGGGAGCAAACGGG